CGCACAGUUGAAUACUAGCACGAUCACGACCUUCUGAAGCCUUUGAAGGAUAGUGUCCUACUCCGUCAACGCCUACGAAAUCAAAGUAAAUUGGGGCUUCAAGAUAACUCAUAUUGAAAGAAUAAGAAUCCAGUCCAUAAGCACUCACUUCGCGAACAUGAUGUCUACGAACAGUAGAUGGAACCUCAGGCAAAGACCAGGAAAGAACGUCAGCAUCAAAUGAAACGACUGUCCAAAUAAGUCCAGGAUGUUCGACUGUAACAGUAACAUUAA